rnacentral:rRNA from 1 species
GUAGGGAAUAUUGCGCAAUGGGGGAAACCCUGACGCAGCGACGCCGCGUGAGUGAUGAAGGCCUUCGGGUCGUAAAGCUCUGUUGCAGGGGAAUAAAAAAAUGAAGGUACCCUGUGAGGAAGGAUCGGCUAACUUCGUGCCAGCAGCCGCGGUAAGACGAGGGAUCCUAGCGUUGCUCGGAAUCAUUGGGCGUAAAGAGGGCGUAGGUGGCUUGGUAAGUCAGGUGUGAAAGCCCAGGGCUCAACCCCGGAAGUGCAUUUGAUACUGCUGAGCUUGAGUGUCGGAGAGGUUACCGGAAUACCUGGUGUAGUGGUGAAAUACGUAGAUAUCAGGUGGAACACCGGAGGCGAAGGCGGGUAACUGGACGAACACUGACACUGAGGCCCGAAAGCGUGGGGAUCAAACAGGAUUAGAAACCCCUGUAGUCC